rnacentral:rRNA from 1 species
AACGAACGCUGGCGGCAUGCCUAACACAUGCAAGUCGAACGAGACCUUCGGGUCUAGUGGCGCACGGGUGCGUAACGCGUGGGAACCUGCCCUUAGGUUCGGCAUAACUCCCCGAAAGGGGUGCUAAUACCGGAUAAUGUCUUCGGACCAAAGAUUUAUCGCCUUUGGAUGGGCCCGCGUUGGAUUAGCUAGUUGGUAGGGUAAAAGCCUACCAAGGCGACGAUCCAUAGCUGGUCUGAGAGGAUGAUCAGCCACACUGGGACUGAGACACGGCCCAGACUCCUACGGGAGGCAGCAGUGGGGAAUAUUGGACAAUGGGCGAAAGCCUGAUCCAGCAAUGCCGCGUGAGUGAUGAAGGCCUUAGGGUUGGAAAGCUCUUUUACCCGGGAUGAUAAUGACAGUACCGGGAGAAUAAGCUCCGGCUAACUCCGUG